CCCGUAUGCACUUCCUCGCGGUUUUCAGUGGUCUGGUAGUACGAGGCUCGGCAGUCAAUGGACAUCUUGCAACCGCGAUUUUGACAUAAACGAAGUGCUGUCUUUUUGCGCACCUUUCGAGCAGUAACCUGCGCCGUUUAUUGAAAGGGGGCCUCAGUUUUUGUCGUCUGCUGAACGUGGUUUUCUCGGCACAAAUCAACUUCAAUAAAUUAGGCGACAGGUCUAAGGUGUUUGCACAGUCUACAGCAGGAAAUGGUAUUAUUCAUGUUCAGAUUUUCUUAAUUAAUUUGCUUAUUUUCUUAUCAUCUGAUCACUAUGAAUGGUUUCUAUUGGUUGGUGGAAAUUAUGAGCUGUUAAGAAUUUGGUGUUCAAGUUUUUGUAAGAGAGGAUGUUGGAGUUGUGACUGGCUCAAGCACUCGUUUUGUAUCGAACAAUGCUCGUCUCGAGGGUUAUGCUAACAUCUCAUCAGCUGAUCUAGAUCUAUUAUACCUAUAAAUCCAUCAAAUGCACGGCUACAGAGGAAGCAAAGACAAGAUUUGAUUUAGGAUGGGUUACUGUCAUGGAAAGUAGAAGGUUGAUUUGGAUAGUCAGGUUACAUUUGCAACCCUUGAGUGGGAAGUCUAUAGGUAAUGGGAGUAAUUGCGGCUCUCACAGAGGUAUUUUUGCAACACCACAGUUAGGAGAAAUAUGGAUUAAUAAAGAUCAAUUAUGGCAGUAUUGACUGCAGAAAAUAACUGCAAACUACCAAAAAGGACAACUGCAACUACUGUGAAUGGUUCUAUAGCAGACAAUCAAGACUACCAAAUCAGACUGGAUUUCUAUUCAAGCACUGCAUGUUUUUGAUUCUGCUUGUAGAUUAUUUUUACUGCUUGAGAUGGUUUAUUUUGUGUGAUAUGGAUAUGUUUAGUCUAUACUCUUCAAUUUUACAAGCGUUUGUUGAAUGUGUCAGCAGCAACUUGUUAUCAACGAUAUUCAUGAAUGUUGUAAGAAAUAUACUGUACAUAUACUUUACAAUUCCUACAA